ACGGGUGAGUAACACGUAUCCAACCUGCCGUCUACUCUUGGACAGCCCUCUGAAGGAAGAUUAAUACAAGAUGGCAUCAUGAGUCCACAUGUUCACAUGAUUAAAGGUAUUCCGGUAGACGAUGGGGAUGCGUUCCAUUAGAUAGUAGGCGGGGUAACGGCCCACCUAGUCUUCGAUGGAUAGGGGUUCUGAGAGGAAGGUCCCCCACAUUGGAACUGAGACACGGUCCAA
rnacentral:rRNA from 1 species